CACAAUUGCUAUCGCUGCAUCAAUGCAAUGUCGGCUUCGCAUCGGGCUAUAUAAGUACAAAUGUUCAGGCUAAAAUUGUCUUGAAAGGAUCAUCCAUCAUUUUUAAAGAUGCUGAAACUUCUGGUACUCCUUAGUGCUGUCCUCGUGGUGUGUAGUGCCCAGGGCUGUACAAACUGCCAGGUUGAUGGACGUACAUACAGAGGCGGUAGCAAUUUCCAGUUCGACAGAGGAUGCUAUCGUUUCUCCUGUAAGUGCAACUGCGAUGGAUCUUGGAAUUGCCCGAGCAGUUUAACUAUUAACAAAUGUACAGGAGGCGGCAACCAAAAUACAGGCGCUUGUGGAAACUGCCAGGUUAAUGGAGGCUCAUACAGAGGCGGCAGCGAUUUUCAGUUCGACAGAGGAUGCAAUCGUUUCUCAUGUAGAUGCAACUGCGAUGGAUCUUGGAAUUGCCCGAGCAGUUUAACUACUAGCAUAUGUUCUGGAGGCAGAAACACUGCUUGUAGAAAUUGUGAAGCAUAUGGAAGAACCUAUGGGCGUGGGUCCUUUCAAAUGGACCAGGGUUGCUACAGAUAUAGCUGUACCUGUAACUGCGAUGGCUCGUGGAACUGCCCUGCCGGGAAGACUAAAAGUAUUUGCUAACUUUACAAAAAUACGACAGAACAGAAAUUCGCUGUCAUAGGCAUCGUCAUUUACAAAAGAAUUUAACUAACGAUUUGCGACCAAUGAAUGUUAACUAAUCACAAACUUAUCAGUGUUAUAUUUUAAUGACUGUCAAAUAAAAAUAUGGACAUUAUCAAAA